UACGUAGGGUGCAAGCGUUGUCCGGAAUUACUGGGCGUAAAGGGUGCGUAGGCGGCGCGGUAAGUCGGGUGUGAAAUCUCGGAGCUUAACUCCGAAACUGCAUUCGAUACUGCCGUGCUUGAGGACUGGAGAGGAGACUGGAAUUUACGGUGUAGCGGUGAAAUGCGUAGAUAUCGUAAGGAAGACCAGUGGCGAAGGCGGGUCUCUGGACAGUUCCUGACGCUGAGGCACGAAGGCCAGGGGAGCAAACGGG
rnacentral:rRNA from 1 species